rnacentral:rRNA from 1 species
UACGAGGGGGACUAGCGUUAUUCUUCAUGACUGGGCGUAAAGGGUGUGUAGGCUGUCUAUUCCGUUUAAAUUAAAAAACCAAAGUUUAACUUUGGAAAAGGUUUUAAAACUAAUAUGACUGGAGCGUCACAGAGGAGAGUGGAAUUUUUAGAGGAGUGAUAGAAUAUAGAGAUACUAAAAGGAACGCCAAAGGCGAAGGCAACUAUCUGGGGGAACACUGACGCUGAAACACGAAAGUAUGGGGAGCAAACAGGAUUAGAUACCCUGGUAGUCCAUAGCUGUCAACGAUGAGUGUUUAAUAUUGGAUUAAUUUCAAUUUUUAAGCUAACGCAAUAAACACUCCGCCUGGGAAGUACGACCGCAAGGUUGAAACUCAAAGGAAUUGACGGGGAUUCGCACAAGCGGUGGAGCAUGUGGUUUAAUUCGAUACAACGCGCAAAACCUUACCAGCUCUUGUCUUGUGAAGAGAUAAGAAAAUCCAGAAAUGAAUUUUUGAAGUCAAAUGGAAGAAUCUUUUUUUAAAUUUUUCUUCUCUUCGACUUAGCUUCACACAGGUGUUGCAUGGCUGUCGUCAGCUCGUGUUGUGAGAUGUUUGGUUAAUUCCAUUAACGAGCGCAACCCUUCUUUUUAGUUGCUACAAAAGUUAUAUUUAUUUAUUCCAAUAAAUAAAAUAUAUUUAUAAGUACUCUAAAAAAACCGCUGACCGAAAGGUUAGAGGCAGGGGAGGAUGACGUCAAGUCCUCAUGGCCCUUAUGAGCUGGGCUACACACGUGCUACAAUGAUGAUUACAAAAGGACGCAAUUAUGCAAUUAUAAGCAAAUCCACAAACAUCAUCUCAGUUCAGAUUGUUCUCUGCAACUCGGGAACAUGAAGUUGGAAUCGCUAGUAAUCGUGGAUCAGCACGCCACGGUGAAUAUGUUCCCGGAUCU